GACCUUUGGGAUAUUUAGAAUUACCCUAAUUAUUCAAAGGAUGCUUAACAUAAUUGAAACGCUUUUAUAUUGCACUAUCACUAUUUAAUAGAGUAUCAAACUAUCAACUGCUUACUACUUCAAAAAAACAAUGAAAAGUGAAACCUCCUGUUACUCAAUUCACCAAUAAUUGCUUCGUCACCCUACCACCCCACCGUCGCCCCAUCUCCCCACUGUCAUUCCACCGCCCCACCGUCGUCCCACCGCCAAAAUAUUGAACGUCUACUUCACCGCACCGCUCCGCUACACCACCACUGCACUUUCCAGCUGAUUGUGAAGAGAGAAGAGCAGGAAAUCAGAAUCUUAUAGAAGUGAAUUUAUAAUAAUAAUAAGGUGGCAGAGUUGAUUAAAGGAAAAUUUCUUGUUGCUUGAUUGUGAAGAGUUGAACUUGAUAUGUUAGUUCCCCUCCUUCCCUGACACUAGUAAUAUUUGUUGAUUAUAUCUGCAUGCUACUGUUGAAACUAUAACGUCAACUUAUACAUCUCUUAACAGUUAACAGGCACUUUUGUUAAGUCAUCCAAAGAAAGACAUGGUGACAUUGCAGAAUAACAGCCAUUUAUGAAGUACUCCGUUUUCCGGUCUAUAGAUUCAGAUUAUGUACAAGGAUUUCCAAAGGAUGUUCAGGAGGUUGAGUCUCAGAACCUGCUUUGUGCGAAGAAUUUGAUGAUAGACAAGAGCAUCAAAACAACAUACAUUGAAGCAAUCAGAUCCGCUCAACAUUUCAUUUAUAUAGAAAACCAGUAUUUCCUUGGAUCAUCAUAUGCUUGGUAAAAUUACAAAAAUGCCGGUGCUGAUCAUUUGAUACCAAUGGAGUUGGCCUUGAAGAUUGUUAGCAAAAUCUGAGCCAAAGAGAGAUUUGAUGUCUAAGUUGUCAUCCUUAUGUGAAUUGUAGAUCAAUAUGGUAUUCGUAUAUCUAAGCAUUAUUUUUUGUAAAUCAACAAUAACUAGAAAGGUGUUUUUAUAUUAAACUCGGGUAUAUAUUUGUAUAGAACAAAUUUUGUAUGGAUGAUUCAAUUUAUUGUGGUUAGAUGUUUUAAAUUAUAUAUAUGAAGUAUAUUUUGAUGAA